UUAAUUGAAACCAAAAAGAGGUAUGUCACUGUUAAUGACAACAUUGAAAUUAAUUCCAAUUAAA
rnacentral:tRNA from 1 species